AUUAAUAUAUAAUAAAAUGAACUGAUAAAUGACAAAAUGGAUACUGAAUGGCAUAGGCAGAGAUUUUUUACGAUAGCCAAAAACUAAAAGACUCAAUGUACACGCACAACCACCCACCCACCCACACACAGACACCACACUCGUGAUUUUGAUGAAUGCUGUUGAAAUGAUGCCAAAAUGCUUUGGUUCAGAUCCUGAAAUUUGAGCCCAACCAUUUAACCAACAACCUAGACUACUUAUAUAUGAAAUGCUUAACGGUACCGGAUCACCCCAAUCGGAGUUUGCGUUAGCGUUGAAAUUGUGAAUUUGUUUAAAGGAGAGGAAAGAGAAGACUAAUCGAAUUACAUUCGCACACACACACACGCGCGCAUACUAUCUCGGAUCCUCGAAAACAAAAUUUUUACAUUUGCGGAUUUGCUAGAAGGAAGGAGAAGAUCACACGCAGAAUGAUAAACGUACUCUACACAAAAACAUAAUCAAAUGCAAAAUGUGUUCUAUCUAUGUUCGUAAUACACAAUGAUUAAAAGGAAAAAUCAAAAUUCUGAGUUCAUAUUUAGCCUUGUUUUCGAUUACUCUGUGUGAGAUGAUGUUUGUGGCAUUCUACAAACCCAAUCAAUGGCCCCAAAGCUGGGCUAUAGAAAACCAAAUGUUGCCCUUAAUCUAUACAGACCCGCCGGAACAGCCCGCCAUCCCGCACAAAAACGCUUAGCAUAUGAAUAAUACAGAAAGAAGCGCAUAAAAAAUGCAAAUAUGCAAAUAAAUAUCUCUAAAACA